rnacentral:lncRNA from 1 species
ACGUAAGUAUAGUAUGCCUAUACGCCCGCUUGAUCAAGGCCUUGGUUCCAUGAUUCUACCAAACAAGUGUUCUGAAAUUCAAGUCUUCAACCCUCUUAUGGGCCUCAACCAUGGGAAUAUGAUCGAGGAAUUGACCAUUAAUGAGGACUAAACUCUAUCCCUGGCUGAUUUAUUUUAUAUAAUUACUACUUAAUUAUAUACAUAUACUUAAUUAGUGUCUCUAGCACAUGCUAGCUAGCUUGGAUGAGGAUUGGGUCAUGUCAUUACACUUUAGUUAUAAUAUGUUUCUAUUUAUGCCUUCAAGUGCUUUGUAUCUCAUGGAGCACAACAUAUGAUAUUCACAAUGUUGUUCUUAAAUUUUCAAUAAAUAUAUAUAAAAGAGAUUAUAUGUUUUAGAUCGAGUUCCUUCAAGCAAGCCGUAUAUAAGGGCAUGCAUACUAGCAUAUAUUGUGUACAAUUUGUUGCAAAACAACCUUGCUCAUCCCUGUUGCUACAAAAACUCAAUUAAAGUAUAUGAAGUACAAAAUAUUUAUUAAUUGGAAUUGUAAGGUAUUUGUUUUAAGAGAUAAUACUUAUGAUCAUUCAUCUUAUUUUUUGAGUACUAUUUUUCCAAGGAUUGCUUUGUGAAAUAAUCUCUUUUGAUGGUGGUAUUUUUUACACGAGGAUCAUUAUCAUGCGAAAUUUGUAGUUUAAUAACUUUAUCUUGUUUAAAACAUGUAUAUUAUAAAUCUUAUUUAAACAUGUAUAUAAGGUAUAGAGUAUAGUAUUUUAUGUGAUAUAGUAUUUUAUGUGAGAGCUUUGACAUAACACAAGCAUGAGCGGAUCUUAGUUAUGAUAAGAGGAGGUUACGGUCUCCCAAAAUUUUCUUCUUUGAUAAAAAUAAGUAUACCUACAAUAAUAUUUAUCUAUAAUAUAUAAUAUAUAAUAUAUAUAUAUAUAUAUAUAUAUAUAUAUAUANNNNNNNNNNNNNNNNNNNNNNNNNNNNNNNNNNNNNNNNNNNNNNNNNNNNNNNNNNNNNNNNNNNNNNNNNNNNNNNNNNNNNNNNNNNNNNNNNNNNNNNNNNNNNNNNNNNNNNNNNNNNNNNNNNNNNNNNNNNNNNNNNNNNNNNNNNNNNNNNNUCCAAUGUCUUGUAAAUAAUAUUAAAUUAUAUAGUAGCUUAGUGGUAAUAAAUGUUUUCGUACAUUUUAUGUCCAUGGUUCAAAUCUCCAUGAGACUAAUUUUUGAUAUUGGCCCCCAAUAAAACUUGUAUGAGACUGAUUUUUGAAAGUUCAAACAAAAUUUUAAACAAAUUUGUCAAAUAUGCAUAUAUCAGAGGUGCUUUUGUUACUAUUUGACUUGAUUGAUUUAACUUCAUUGAUUUCAAUUUCAAUCAAAUAGAAAAUGAAAUUCAUCCAUUCGUCUCUAUUCAAUUUGGAAACAAUAUUGCUCAUCAAAACAAAAACAUAUUUGUUUGCUUUUAAAAGAUGCCUACUUAUCUUCCUUUUUCAAGGUACAAAUUUUUUUAAGAGGUUUUUCAAGGUACGUAAUUGAUCUAUCAAUGAUUGUACGUAUUUGGUUGUAAAAUUUACGUGGAUGACAUAUUUAGAUACCUUUGGCCCAAGAAAACCAAUAGAGGAAGCAUUAAGGAUAUCAUAAAUGCUAAUGUUAAUGAAAGUUGAUGAAGAAUCUAAAAAAUAUCUAGCUUAAUUAUAAAGUGGAGAGAACUUAUUUUUGUUGGGUUAUAAUCAUCAACAAUAUAUCUUUUUUGAGUAUAUAGGAAGACAAUGAUGAAAGAUAUUUUUGCCAAUUAGUUCCUAAGCUAGCUUGUUUGAAAAACAUCAAAAUUAAUGAGUUAGAAGAUACACGUUUGAGUUUCUAAAGUAUAAUUUAAUUCAAUCAAUUUUAGCAUCAACCACAUUUUUAUAAAUUAUUCUCACAAGCUUUUAAUCAAUCUAACAAGUGUUUAUUUUACUUCAAAUAAAUCAAUGUAAAUAGAUCUACAUUCUAUAAUGAUAAUUAUAUUGAAUCAUCUUCACCAAAUAUUCCUUCCACUCCAUGUCUCUCUCAUCAAUUCUUUUUAUUUUUCGUAAAUAUUUUUUUAAUGAAUUGAUGAGACAGAUAGAAAAAUAGAUAUAGUAUAAAUUAAUAUUUAAUGUAGAGAUUCAUUUUCGAUAAUAAUAUUUUUAAAUAAUAUAAAAUUAGUUUUUCGUAGUUGUUUGUCAUUUUUAUAACACUUUACAUUUUGACAAUUAAUUAGUACUGUUAUGAUGUCCACAAUUAUAAGAAUAAUUUUCAAAAAUUAAUACUACACAUAAUCAACAAAUUAAUUUAGACUCACUAAAUGAAUUACUUUUUUUAAUACCAAAUAAAUGUAUUAAGGAGCAUUUCCUCCAAAUCUAUUUAUAAAACUAAUGUACAUGUAUUAAUAAAAUUGGUUAACCUCGUUAAAAAUGAAGUGAAUUUACUAAAAUUCAUUUUUCCCAUUUUAAAAUUAUGUUUGUUUUAAUAGUCAUAGAGGAACGUUCGCAGAAAAUGCAAAUAAAUUUGAUGGAAAACUAACUAAGUUGAGCUAUCUACACCACUCUCAUUUCUUUUUAUUUAAAUAAAUAUUGAUUUUUACAUAAUUUUAGUUUUAGUUUUGUAUUAUAUUUAUAUUUUAAUUUACAUUAAUAAAUUAAUUUCGACUAAUUAUAAAUUCAAGUAAUAUAUUUGACAUAAUCAACUUUAAAAAUUUGAAAACAUGAAUAUUUCAAAUAUUUUAAUUGUCAUAUUUAUAAAUAUUUUUACCGUUUUAUAUUAUUAACAUCAAUAUUACGAAUGUUUUAAGUUAUAGUUCAAUUGAAAAAUACUGUUAAAUUAGAUAUAUUUUCUUAUGUUCAAAUUGACAUCUCGUGUGAAUUAAUUACCGUAAAAUUUAUUAUAUUUUUAAUAUAAAAAAUAUCAAUGUUAUGAAUUUAUUUAUUAGUAUUUUUACUAUUUUCAAUUUUAACUAAUUUGAAUAUAAAUUUGUGUGAUUAUCAAUAUAUGGUAACAUUUUGAAUUGAGUGAAUUAAUAUAGCUAUUUUUUAAGUAAAAAUAAAUAAAAUAAAAAUUGUAUAAUGAGAGUGGAAAAAGAAAAUGAAUGAAAAACAUGUUAGUGGUCACGAAACAGAUAAGGCAGCCUCGAAAUUUUCUUCCCUGACACAGUUAGCUUCCCACCCAUACCAUACCAUACCAUACCAUACCAUCAUUCCGUGCAAGAAAUUCAAAAAUUAGUUUAGGAGUUCUUAGGAUAAAAAUUAUAAAUACAUGCUGCGGUAUCUAUCAAUUGUGACAAUUUUUCUUGAGGUUCGGGUGGCUAUAAUCCCCUUAAAUUUUUUUAAUAUCAGUUUUUUUUGUACACAAGUAUUUCGCACAAUUAUAUUAAAUUGGAGAUGGCACAAUAGUAAAUUAGAGGUUACAACUAAAAUUAAAAUAAUCAUUUCACCAACAAAAUAAUUCACAACAACUGUAUACAAAACGGUUUAAUAUAUAUUUUAAUUAAUAUUAGUCGUUUUUAUAAAACUUGUCGAGCUCCAAUCUAGUCUAUCAAAUAAAUCAUACUAGUUAUCUCCUGUUGUCACCAAAGUUCCACUCCCUAUCAAUAUUAUUAUUUCCUUUACUAUAUCCUAAGUGUUUGACAAUGUUUUAUAUUAAUUACUGGUUUAAUGCUAAGUGUCGUUGUUAGGGGCAAUUAGAGGUUGCGUAACUGGUUCUUGUAACGAAUCAAUGGAAAGAGCAAAUAAACAAAACACUGACCUUUGGCCCAAAAGCCAUAACAUCUGUAGCUGUUGUAUGACGAGAGGCAUCACUGUGAGAGGAUAAGUGGGGUCCUUGUGCCACACGCAAUCGUGUGGUUGUCGCACUUCUUAUGCAUAAAAACAAAUUGUUAAGUAUAUUUGACUUGAUUCACAACCAACCAAUGUGCUAUUAUUUUCUGCAGCAAUCCUUGUCUUACGUAAAGCAAUAAAAAAUAGAAUGGGACUACCGAAAGCUAGGCGAAUACACAAUCAAACUCACCCAAAAAAAAAAAAUCCUUGCACAAAAGUAUUUUUAUUUUAUUUUUUCUGCUUACGUAAAAAAAUUCUAUAUUUUAAAAUUUGAUCAAAAUAAUAAAAACUUUGAGGGUACAAAUCUAAUUCGGGAAAAAGAAAUAAAAAAAAACUUAUUAAUUGUGUUAUUAUUAUUUAUCUACGUCUUUAAAUACUCUUUUCUACUAAAAAAUACAAGAUAUAAAAUAAAUAUAUUAAUGAGUGUUACAAAUUUCACUUAUUAAAAGAUAUUAUUAUUUUUUACUUUUUAGAUUUUAAGACAACUUUAGAUAACUUUUAAUUUUGAUCAAGGUAAACUCAUUAACAAUCAUCACUCUAAAAGUCAUUCAAAGUACACAAUAUCAACAACCGUUCGAGUUGUGAAUUGUCCGAUAGAAAUUUGAUAUAUAACAAAUACAUAUAAAUUAAUUGCUUUAUUGAAUAUAUGUAUUAGUAUAUAUAAUUAAGUAAAAGACUCUCGAGUUUUUUUUAAUAUAUAGUCUUAGUUUUAACUCUUAAAGACAUGCAUUGACACAAGGUUGAUCCGAAUUGAAUUCUUACAUCUCAAUUCAUGCACAUAGAAUAUUUUAGAAAUUUAUUUUGAUCGUGUAUUCUUAAUUAGACGACGAUAUGCAUAUCAUAAUGAACUAACUUUUCCAAUAUUUUACAUCAAUAAUACUAUUUUUAGGGGAAAACCCCCAAGAAAACAAGAAUAAAAAAUAAAAGUUUAGAGAAAGCAAUGUAGUACUAUAAAUAAAUAAAAAAUCGUUAUAUAUUAGUAGAUUGCUUUCACUAGACUUUUAUUUUCAUAUUGUCUUGGAGUUUUCUCCCUAAAAAUAUUAUUAUUGAUACAAAAUAUUGAGAAAGUUAGUUGAAUAUAUAUAUAUAUAUAUAUAUAUAUANNNNNNNNNNNNNNNNNNNNNNNNNNNNNNNNNNNNNNNNNNNNNNNNNNNNNNNNNNNNNNNNNNNNNNNNNNNNNNNNNNNNNNNNNNNNNNNNNNNNNNNCUGUGUGUGUGAGAGAGAGAGAGAUAUUUGGAGUUUGUAACAUGCACAUUUUUUUAAUUAUUAUUAAUAAUAUGUGAAAUAUAUUUUUAUUUAUUUUUUUAAUAAUUUAUAUUGUGGUCGUUAUUAUUAUAGUUUUUAUUCAAUUAUUAUUUUUAAAAAAUAUAUAUGUGUAUAAUGAUUUAUUUAAUUUGAUUGGAUAUUUUGGUAAAAAUUUGAAAAAAAAUAUUUAUAAUAAUGACACGAUUUAAUUAUUUCUAGAAAACAAAAACAAUAUAUAUAAAUUAAAAAUAGGCAAUGAAAACAAAUGCCUAUAAUUUAGGAAGUGAGAUAUAGAAUAGCAACUUCCAUAACACUUCAGCUCCCAUAGAUGUCACCAACCUCCCUAAAAAUAUUCAAGAAAAAAGGUCCCAUCUUAUAAGGCUAUGUGGUGAAGCUGAAGGUUAUUUGGAGAGACACUACUCAUCCAUUUUAGGCUCAUACCAAAACCCUCUUCAACAUCUUCAUAUUUUUUCUUACUAUUCAAACGACCUUAUACUUGGUCUCCUUGAGUUUUCUAUCCUUAGCCAACACUCCACACACACGUCCCAAACAAAAUUGCUUUUAUAGGUUCAGGUCCUCUUCCUCUUACUUCAAUUGUUUUGGCUUCAAAUCAUUUACCUUCAACCACUUUUCACAACUAUGACAUAGACCCUUUAGCCAAUUCAAGUGCUACACACUUGAUUUCCUCUUACCAUGAUUUGUCAAAAGGUAUGGUUUUUCACACCAAUGACAUAUUGGAUGUGUCAAAUGAUUUGAAAGACUAUAAAGUUGUUUACUUGACAACCCUUGUGAGUAUGGACAACGUCGAAAAGAAUCGAAUAAUUGAUCACUUGGAUAAGCACAUGACACCAGGAGCACUUCUUAUGUUAAGGAGUGCUCCCGAAGCUCAUACUUUUCUCUAUCCAGUUGUUGAAUAUUAUGAUUUUCGAGACUUUGAAGUCAUCUAUGUGUUCCAUCCUAUAGACGAAGUUAUCAACUCUGUUGUCAUAUAACUUAAGUAUAGUAUGUCUAUACACUCACUUCAUCAAGGCCUUGGUUCCAUGACAAGUGUUCUGAAAUUCAAGUCUUCAACUCUCUCUCUUAUGGGCCUCAACCAUGGGAAUAUGAUGGAGGAAUUGACCAUUAAUGAGGACUAAACUCUAUCCCUUGCUGAUUUUCUUUAUAUAGCUACUACUAAUUAAUUAUAUACAUAUACUGAAUCAGUGUCUCUAGCACAUGCUAGU